UACGUAGGCAGCAAGCGUUGUUCGGAAUUACUGGGCGUAAAGAGUGUGUAGGCGGUGCUCUAAGUUCGGUGUGAAAUCUCCCGGCUCAACUGGAGGGUGCGCCGGAAACUGGGGUGCUGGAGCGCGGGAGAGGAAAGCGGAAUUCCUGGUGUAGCGGUGAAAUGCGUAGAUAUCAGGAGGAACACCGGCGGUGUAGACGGCUUUCUGGACCGUAGCUGACGCUGAGACACGAAAGCGUGGGUAGCAAACAGG
rnacentral:rRNA from 1 species